GAUGAACGCUAGCGGCAGGCUUAACACAUGCAAGUCGAGGAGUAUUGGUUUUCGGACCAAGAGACCGGCGCACGGGUGCGUAACGCGUAUGCAAUCUACCUUUUGCAGAGGGAUAGCCCAGAGAAAUUUGGAUUAAUACCUCAUAGUAUAGUACUUUGGCAUCAAGGAACUAUUAAAGUCACAACGGCAAAAGAUGAGCAUGCGUCCCAUUAGCUAGUUGGUAAGGUAACGGCUUACCAAGGCUACGAUGGGUAGGGGUCCUGAGAGGGAGAUCCCCCACACUGGUACUGAGACACGGACCAGACUCCUACGGGAGGCAGCAGUGGGGAAUAUUGGACCAAAUGGGCGAAAGCCUGAUCCAGCAAUGCCGCGUGAGUGAUGAAGGCCUCGGUU
rnacentral:rRNA from 1 species